rnacentral:rRNA from 1 species
GUCNAAUCAUCAUGCCCCUUAUGACCUGGGCUACACACGUGCUACAAUGGGAAGUACAACGAGUUGCGAAGUCGCGAGGCUAAGCUAAUCUCUUAAAGCUUCUCUCAGUUCGGAUUGCAGGCUGCAACUCGCCUGCAUGAAGCCGGAAUCGCUAGUAAUCGCGGAUCAGCACGCCGCGGUGAAUACGUUCCCGGGCCUUGUACACACCGCCCGUCACACCACGAGAGUUUGUAACACCCGAAGUCGGUGAGGUAACCUUUUUGGAGCCAGCCGCCUAAGGUGGGAUAGAUGAUUGGGGUGAAGUCGUAACAAGGUAGCCGUAUCGGAAGGUGCGGUUGGAUCA